UUAGGGAGCUCGCGCCAAUCAUGUCCGUCUCCUAGACGUAGGGGCGGCUAGAGGGUGGUGGCUUGUGACCGUGGGCGUAACAAGGCUCGAGUUGCGUGCUCGUGGGCGGUAAUUGAUAAGUUCGAAGUGAAGCGAGACGUUAAAGAGACAUUCUAGCUCCGUCUCGCAUGCGUCUUUUCGUUUCGCGCGCUAACACACGGCUCUACCGACGCCGCGACGACGGCCCAUGGGCCUAUUGCAAGAGACCCCGCACCGUCGUCCAGGCACCGGGCCACUAGCACGGCGACGACGCGCGCAGGCACGACGAGACGCAGCGGUACAGGCGCUACGACAACCGCCUCUUCCACAUGUACCGCCACCAGCAGGAGCGCGACGCCGACGAGCCGGCGGCGGGGCUCGACGUCAUGGCCACCCUCGGGUACGCGCUGCCGCUGCUGGGGCUCGAGCCGUCGCGGCGGAUGGGGUACCAGGAACACGUCUAAGGGUACAUGUUGCUCGCGCUCCACAUGGUCGACAGCUAGCCCCGCCGCACGCCCGAGAGGACCGGUAGGCUAGCCUAGUAGCAGGUCCACGAGCUGCUGAGGUGUCUGGGACAGCAGUUCCUCAACCACGUCCACCUCACGGUCGCGACCCGCUCCUUCCCGCACUUGUAGUUCAUACUCUGGGCCUUGUUGGCCGCGCCCAUGUUCCGGCCGCGCGAGUUCCUUCGGUACUUCGUGCCGAUGCAGUUUCUGACGCUGAACCACCGGUAGAAGCUGCGGCUGAAGGUCGGCCUCGGGCUGAAGGACAGCGCGAGGCAGGGGAAGGAGCAGGUGUUGGGGCUAUAGCGGGAGCACGUCCGGGCAACCUUUAAACACUUACGUCUACUUACGAACUACUGUUCUUACGUCCUCUACAGGAACCUGAUGGUGAAGUUCCACCUCGUUCUUCACCCGAGAAGCUGGAUACGGAAAAAACCUAAGUUACCUUGGCGACCACACACCGCGUAUAGACGAGACUUACUCCGUCCACCGACCUUCCUGGCUUGGUGUCAACUUCUGUACCUGGACCGACAGGCUCGUUCAGAGUUCCCUACCUUUAAACACAUGGAACCACUAGAGUUCCAUUUUUUACUCGAGGGAUCAUGCAAGUUUCGUAAAGCCAUGGUCGUUGUAUCUACCAGUACGCCCGGCCGUUUAAACAAGUCCUUUUACCACUACCUCUAGUAAUUUUUAUUCUUUCACUGUGAAACCUUCUUUUAGGUACACCAGAUGUUGAAGAAGAAAGACGCGUUCCAACAGCGUGUGUAAUACUGGAAACACAAGAUGACGGAACAAUAGGGCCGGUGCCAGAAUCAAGGGCUCCAACUCCAUGGUUUCACCCCAACGCAUAUAUAAGGUCGAUAAUAGUGGGAAGAGUCACAACAACCCUGAGGUUCCAGACAAGUGAAUCAAUAGAAAACCCGUGAUAAACUCUUACAAUACAGUAACGUAUCUUGUUUCCGGUGGAAGUAGCCAGAUAACCUCCGUGUGUGCCACUUACUUACCCACCACUGUCUUUUCGAACCACUGUGACACUUCUGAUUUUACGGUUCAUUUCGAAACUUUUUCGACUCCUAUCCCUAUCCUCUUUCCAAUGUAGAAACCCUCGAACCACAACGUCGGAUGGAGAAGUAAACGCCUACGAUAUCGUAAAGUAAACCCUUAUUGGUAAUGAAGUAGAAAGAGGAAUACGUUAGGUAGCGAAAGAAGUAGCAGCCACACCCGAUACAACCCUGUAAGCAGUGUGUUACUACCAUAGGUAAGACUCAAAUUGUACAGAAGCUACGAAAGUUCAAAGUACGAUAUAUUAUAUUAGUUAUACUUUCUAUUCUAGUUCUUCGGAAGAGAACUCACAUUACAGGAAACUGUUUUUACGUCAUCGUUGUGUAGUGUAUCCAUAUACCCACACAAAAUCGACGAUCCUUACACAGCAUGCGUACUCUAGCCACUACUAGUUCGUUCAACAGAUCUCAUAGACGUAGUGACAUCGUUUUUCUUUACUAGAAAAAGGUUCCAAGCGGUAAAAAGAUCUGUCUAUUCGUUCUUUUUCAUAGAGGAAGGUAACAAUUCCUUCUUUCAUUUCACGCGCCACAAAGGAGUGGAAACCGGGUGUAGAAGUCAAUAUAGAAAAUGGGAAAUGGGGACGACUUACAAUUCAAGUUAUUUAUUUACGUAAACCCUUAUAAAGGAAAUUCCGUUAACAUAAAGUUUGUCUCAAUCAUCGUAUGUUCGUAACGAACAACCUCUGAUCGAAGAGAUAGAGAACAACUCAAGUGACCUAUUAUCCUCCCUCGUGGCUGCUCGUGUGUGUGUACCCCACCUGGCCACGACCCGCACUCGUAGUGCACAUAUGAGCGACCGUGAGGGAAGACAAACUAUUACUCUACUUAUAAUACUUAAAAAAACCUAAUAUAAUGACUCGGAACACCCGUUCAUGUACACCACCAUGUUUAAACAUUCUGUUCACUGGAUAUCUGAACCUCAUGUUCAUCUAUGAGAUGGUAAGAUAUUUACCCCGAACUAUAGAAGUGAAGUAGUACUUAUUUACUCUUGAUCGUGUGUAGCGGUACCUACGACGUUGGUGUUUGUACAAAAGACGUUAACGAUGGCUUUGUCUCGUUGACUUCGUUUGGUAGCAUACAUGAUGCUUAUUAUCCAUCGGGAUGGGGUACGUCUCAAACACUCGGCACAUUAUCCGCUGGUAAACGCGCUAAACACUCCGUGAACUUAUUCGGCGUACGUGGAUAAAAUAGUAAUCUUAUAUUAGAUAGUGAUUAAACAUUAAAGCGACACAUGUGCUGUAAACACAUAAGAUGGGAUCAACUACACCAUCGUUACUAUGCAUAGGUUACAUAGAUAUAAAAAACUAACAAGAUAUAACAAUAUGAUAGUAAGAACCUACAAAAUGUUAGUAAAAUAUCGUUGAAAUAUAGUAAAAAACCCUGGUUGGAUAACUAUAUCACGGGUCACGACAAAAAAACGAACAAAAAAAUGAAGCGUCUUUUAGUUAUGGUUUGCCUCAGGUUUGUGUUGCUUUGAAAAACCUCUAAAAAAGACCUGGUCUUCUGUGUUCAACCCGGUUCCUUCAUGGUGUACCCCCGAGGCUCCCCUCAUGUUGGGUGGACCCGCACGGACCCCCGGGUCCGCGCGGGACCACCCAACACGGGUGGAGCCGACGGAGGGUGUGGCGGAGAAACGAGACAUUUAUGGGGCUUUUAGGUUUUUGGGAUCUCCUCAGCUGUUUUGUGUUGAGGUCGGCGGCGUUCAAAGCCUUUGGUAUCUAGGUUAGAUUUGUGGUAGUACCUCCCCAAGUAGUAGGAGUAACCACGGAGAGGCUACUAUGCACUCAUCAAGUAACAUCUGGAUGCCCAGGCAUCAAUCAUCGAUCUACCAAAGGAGAGCGAGAGGGAGAAAAAUAAGAGUUAUGUUACCAGAGAACCUCUAGAUAAACUACAUUGAGAAAAACGCCACACAAACAACCCUAGACUACUUGAAACUCAAAUACUAAUCUAGAUAAAAUAGGUACUUUCAAUAAACUCAAAACUAGAGAAUAUACGUACUAAUGAAUAUCGGAGCAUAAAGAAGAAGCUCAGAAACCAAAUCAAUCC
rnacentral:rRNA from 1 species